UAUGUCUAUGUUGGAUGUUAUGGAGAAAUAUAACAAAGAGAGAGAAACAGACAGACAUUCCAGGGUAUGCUGCAACAGUUCAACAAGGGAAUGUACCACAUUAAGGCAACAGAGACCACGGAGGAUGGAAAGAGCGAGGAUGGCCUUUUUUUAAUAAUGUCAAAAUGAAACGGCAUGCUGGGAUAUGGCUGAAGAAGUGGA
rnacentral:lncRNA from 1 species